AUUGAACGCUGGCGGCAGGCCUAACACAUGCAAGUCGGACGGUAGCACAGAGGAGCUUGCUCCUCGGGUGACGAGUGGCGGACGGGUGAGUAAUGUCUGGGGAUCUGCCCGAUAGAGGGGGAUAACCACUGGAAACGGUGGCUAAUACCGCAUAACGUCGCAAGACCAAAGAGGGGGACCUUCGGGCCUCUCACUAUCGGAUGAACCCAGAUGGGAUUAGCUAGUAGGCGGGGUAACGGCCCACCUAGGCGACGAUCCCUAGCUGGUCUGAGAGGAUGACCAGCCACACUGGAACUGAGACACGGUCCAGACUCCUACGGGAGGCAGCAGUGGGGAAUAUUGCGCAAUUGGCGCAAGCCUGAUGCAGCCAUGCCGCGUGUAUGAAGAAGGCCUUCGGGUUGUAAAGUACUUUCAGCGGGGAGGAAGGCGAUGUGGUUAAUAACCGCGUCGAUUGACGUUACCCGCAGAAGAAGCACCGGCUAACUCCGUGCCAGCAGCCGCCGUAA
rnacentral:rRNA from 1 species